rnacentral:rRNA from 1 species
UACGUAGGUGGCGAGCGUUGUCCGGAUUUACUGGGCGUAAAGCGCGCGCAGGCGGUCCGGUAAGUCUCCGGUGAAAUCGCCCGGCUCAACUGGGCGGGUGCCGGGGAGACCGGCGGACUUGAGGAGCCUAGAGGCCGGUGGAACUCCCGGUGUAGUGGUGAAAUGCGUAGAGAUCGGGAAGAACACCAGUGGCGAAGGCGGCCGGCUGGGGGUGUCCUGACGCUGAGGCGCGAGAGCGUGGGGAGCAAACCGG